GCGCACGUGAUCUAGCGGUUAUGAUACGAGGUUCCCAACCUCGUUACCCGGGUUCAAGUCCCGGCGUGCGCACCA
rnacentral:tRNA from 5 species